GCAAGUCGAGGGGUAACAGGGGAGCUUGCUUCCGCUGACGACCGGCGCACGGGUGCGUAACGCGUAUGCAACCUACCUUACACUGGGGGAUAGCCCGAAGAAAUUCGGAUUAAUACCCCAUAACAUUGCGACUUCUCAUGGAGAUGCAAUUAAAACUCCGGUGGUGUAAGAUGGGCAUGCGUGACAUUAGAUUGUUGGUGAGGUAACGGCUCACCAAGUCUACGAUGUCUAGGGGUUCUGAGAGGAAGGUC
rnacentral:rRNA from 1 species